ensembl:ncRNA lncRNA:CR45184 long non-coding RNA:CR45184
GGUUUACCCCGAUGGCAUUCGACAUAUCCGAUCCGACAAGCGUGUGAACGAGUGGAAGGCUCCGGGCAAGAAGUCCAUUACCAAGUGCGCCGUGAAUCAGCGCCAGGUGGUCAUCACCUUGUCGGGCAGGGAGUUGGUCUACUUCGAAAUGGAUCCGACUGGGGAGCUGAACGAGUACACGGAACGUUCCGAGAUGCCUGCUGAGAUUAUGUGCAUGGCCUUGGGAACUGUUCCGGAGGGCGAGCAGAGAUCCUGGUUCUUGGCCGUCGGCCUGGCGGAUAAUACAGUGCGCAUCUUAUCGCUGGAUCCCAACAACUGUCUCACUCCCUGCUCCAUGCAGGCCCUGCCUUCGCCAGCCGAAUCCCUUUGCCUGGUCGAAAUGGGUCACACGGAGAGCACGACUCAGGGAGGUUUGGAUGACGAUGCUCCCGCUCAGCGCAGUGGCAACAAUAAGGGAACCAUUUACCUAAACAUUGGCUUGAGCAACGGUGUCCUGCUGAGAACUGUGCUCGAUCCUGUUUCCGGAGAUUUGGCAGACACCCGAACGAGAUAUUUGGGUUCCCGACCCGUAAAGCUCUUCCGGAUCAAGAUGCAGGGAUCCGAAGCGGUGCUGGCCAUGUCCAGUCGAACCUGGCUGUCGUACUACCACCAAAAUCGAUUCCAUUUGACGCCUCUGUCUUAUGAAACCCUUGAGUAUGCUUCUGGCUUCUCGAGCGAGCAGUGCAGCGAAGGUAUCGUGGCUAUAUCCACCAACACCUUGAGGAUCUUGGCCCUGGAGAAACUGGGAGCCGUCUUCAAUCAAGUAGCGUUCCCCUUGCAGUACACUCCACGUACCUUUGUAAUCCAUCCGGAUACGGGACGCAUGCUAAUUGCCGAAACCGAUCACAACGCCUACACAGAGGAUACGAAGAGUGCCCGAAAGGAGCAAAUGGCGGAGGAGAUGCGCAGUGCAGCUGGCGAUGAGGAAAGGGAGUUGGCCCGCGAAAUGGCCAAUGCUUUCAUCAACGAAGUCCUUCCCGAGGACGUGUUUUCGUCGCCCAAAGCAGGACUGGGUCUUUGGGCCUCGCAAAUCCGUUGCCUGGACGCAAUGCAUGGUCAGACGAUGUUUAGUGUGCCGCUCACCCAAAACGAGGCCAUUAUGUCGAUGGCCAUGCUGAAGUUCUCCAUAGCGGCUGAUGGCCGGUACUACCUGGCCGUGGGAAUCGCCAAGGAUCUGCAGCUGAAUCCCAGGAUUUCGCAAGGCGGCUGCAUAGAUAUCUACAAAAUAGAUCCCACUUGCUCCAGUCUGGAAUUCAUGCACCGCACGGACAUUGACGAGAUUCCUGGAGCCCUGUGUGGCUUCCAGGGUCGUCUACUAGCUGGCUGCGGUCGAAUGUUGCGAAUCUACGAUUUCGGCAAGAAGAAAAUGCUGCGCAAAUGCGAGAACAAGCACAUUCCCUAUCAGAUUGUCAAUAUCCAAGCCAUGGGUCAUCGUGUUUACGUGUCGGAUGUUCAGGAAUCAGUAUUUUUCAUACGCUAUCGUCGCGCGGAGAACCAGCUGAUUAUAUUUGCCGAUGACACGCAUCCUCGAUGGGUGACGGCCACCACCUUGCUGGACUAUGAUACCAUAGCCAUAGCCGAUAAGUUUGGCAACCUGAGCAUUCAGCGAUUGCCCCACUCCGUAACGGACGAUGUGGACGAGGAUCCAACGGGCACCAAGUCUCUGUGGGAUCGUGGCCUGCUGUCAGGUGCUUCACAGAAGUCGGAGAACAUUUGCUCCUUCCAUGUGGGCGAGAUAAUCAUGUCGCUGCAGAAGGCAACGCUAAUUCCUGGAGGAUCGGAAGCCCUUAUAUACGCCACGCUAAGUGGCACUGUUGGAGCAUUUGUUCCGUUCACCAGUCGCGAGGACUACGACUUCUUCCAACAUCUGGAGAUGCACAUGCGCAAUGAGAAUCCUCCACUCUGUGGACGCGACCAUCUCAGCUACAGGAGCUCGUAUUAUCCGGUCAAAAACGUACUCGACGGCGAUCUCUGCGAGCAGUAUCUGUCCAUUGAGGCAGCCAAGCAGAAGAGCAUAGCUGGCGACAUGUUCCGCACUCCCAAUCAGAUCUGCAAGAAACUGGAGGAUAUUCGCACGCGAUACGCCUUCUAAGAUGCCAGCAAAGGAACACUUCAAUAUCAUGGAAACUUUUCUUUUUUAACUAGUUUUCGUGGGCAAAACCAACAAACGCUGCACCUAAAACGUUUUAAAGUUUAAUCGGAAAAUUCCAAUGACCAUUAGACCAUUACAUUAGGAACACUUUCAAGAUCUUCUUACGUUGGGGUAUGUUGUGGCGCUUAAUUCUAACUAAAUUAUACACUAGAUCGUACAUCUAUACUAACUGCACAUUAAAUCACCGAUCAACCACUAAUCGACUGCCGCAUAUUUAAACUAGCAUAUAAGUCAGUGCAAACUCGACAAAUUGCACAACCUAAAUAUAAACCCCUAAUCAUAAGCAAUUUUUAACUUAAAUAAAAGUAACUGAAAAC